CCCUUAGAUGUUCUGGGCCGCACGCGUGCUACACUGAGUGGAUCAGCGGGUCAGGUUGCGCGAAAGUGUUUCCUAAUCUUUAAAUCCGCUCGUGAUGGGGAUUGACGGUUGCAAUUUUCCGUCAUGAACGAGGAAUACCUAGUAAGCGCGAGUCAUCAGCUCGCGUUGAUUACGUCCCUGCCCUUUGUACACACCGCCCGUCGCUACUACCGAUUGAAUGGUUUAGUGAGGACUCCUGAUUGGCGCCGCCGCCCCGGCAACGGAGCAGCGGACUGCCGAAAAGUUGUUCAAACUUGAUCAUUUAGAGGAAGUAAAAGUCGUAACA
rnacentral:rRNA from 1 species